rnacentral:ncRNA from 2 species
GCUGCAACGUAGGGGUCCUGCGCCUGCCGGGCGCGGGUGAGAACACACCCUCCGAACCUGAUGCGGGUAAUGCCGCCGAAGGGAAGCGUUGAUGCCCGUCUU